AUCACUUCUUAGCCUUUUGGCUAAGAUCAAGUGUAGCAUCUGUUCUUAUCAGUUUAAUAUCUGGUAUGUUCUCUAUCCAAGAACAAUAUAUUAAAUGGAUUUUUGAAGGGAGAUGGCAUAGGGGCUUGCUCUGUCCACUCCAUGCAUCAGUAUGGUAUUGUAGAACAGUGCACCCCCU
rnacentral:snRNA from 1 species